CCAAGUUUUUAUUAUAAAACCCAAACAUUAUAUAUUCGAAUUUCAGAGUGAAGUUGGGGUGAAUAUGAUUACUGAUAAAUUGUAAACACUUCUUCCAAAAAAAUUCUAAUUUCAGUACAAUUCCAAAAAAGAUGGUUAAUUGCUUUUGGAUGUUCUUUGCAAAAGGGACAGUUAGGAUCAAUUUUUUAAUGUAUCUUAGCAUGAAUUGAUUAGUGGGGUAAAUUUUGUGAAUGAUUUUAAAAGAAACUUCUUUCAUUUUUUAUUUUAUUUAUCAUAGAUUUUUGGGUCACACUCCAGCCCUAUCUCCAAAUGCUGCCGGGAACAAAACGUCUUCAGUAGUUUCGAAGCCGCAAAAUAACACGAGGAGAACGAACAACCGUGACGUCUUACCCGAGCUCCAGUAAAGUGAAAUUUGAUUGGUCACGUUCUGCAACGCGACCAAUCAGCUGUCGAGUUACAGCGCUCCGCGCCGCCAUGACGCAGUCUGUUUGAAAACAAUGGCGGCACGGAGCGUUAGGUCCGAAGAUGAAGACGGAAAAAAAGAAUAAAAGUUGACCGUAGGAGACAUGGACACCCUCUAGUAAGCGAGGCCGGCCGCGUCCUCACAGCGAAAAGACCUCAGAGGAUCCGGGAGUUGGCGGCAGUGACCCGGCCGAGCCAAUAAGUUCAGGAAAAGAGUCUUCAUCUGAAGCGAUUGAAACAGAAUCACAGAGGCUGGACGACGUGGAAAAAACCAAGAAGAAGCUACAAGAACACCGGAUACGCCCCCCCCCCCCCCCCCCCCCCCGAAGUUUCCAUAUGUAUCUUCCGUGUGUAAAAAUAUUUUGUGCUGAAAAACUUCGCUUUUGUAUAAAACUUCAAGUAACCCAGAAACAUCAUGUCAUCACCUAACGGACAAACGUCGAGCAGCAACUUUAACGCGGUAAACAGCAGGACGUGACCGUACAGAUUAGAUGAAGUGCGUGGAGGGGAUGGGGGAUUGGGGGGUGGAAUCCGCGGCACACGUCUGUGCAGAACCGGGGCCUGUGAUCCGUAUGGAUCAUGGAUCAUCCGCGCAGCCUAGUAGCUUCUCCUGGGAUUCGGUGUCAGACCGUAAAACCUCAUCACCCGCGGGACGUCAUCACCGCGGACCCACACUUUAUUUAUUUGAAGACACAGAGGACUCAUAUGAUGUGUGAUUUGAACUAAACAUAUUCAUCUUUGCUAAUUAUUGUGUAUUCUCGUGCGGUUAUGGACACAUGUUGGAGACCCAGGGCACUAUGUCAAUUAGGUUUCAUAGGUUCUACGUGGUGGGCGGCCGCGGCGUCACUCCUCCCGAUUCCCCCGCUGGAGCGGCAGACGUCGCCCCCCACCGCCGUGGGGCCUGUGUAGCGCGGGCAGCACGGAGACACGCCGGGGGUCCACCGGCAGCUGCGCCCGAACCGGCUGCACAGGGUCCGAACGUCGGCUCCCCUCUCGCUAAGGGCGCCGGAGGAGGGAAAGGAGAGGCGAGGAGCCUGCGGGGCGAGGGUGGAGCGCAGGCGCCCCGAUGUCUCUGCACUUCUGUCAAAAGUGGCAGGAAAAUACACGUCUAAAUGCGCUACGAGCUCCUCAUGGGAGCGUGAAUUCAGCGCGACAGGAAACAUCGUCACCCCGUUAAGAUCCUCACUGAUAGCUGACGCGGUUAUCAUGUUGGUGUUCCGGUCACGUAACAUGAAGACGGACGAAUAAAAGCAGCAGCACCAUUCACUAAAGCAGCCAAACAGACAAACACGUGUUCACUUUUUUUUUUGCACUUUAAAAAAGGUUGUUCAUGUUUAGCCUAUGUUGAACCUUUCCUGCGAGGACUUUUCUCUUUCUGACCGUGGUCGGAAAACGUCGGCCGAUCUUCCUCUGGGGUUAUAAGCUACAUGCGUUCUUGAGUUUGCCACUCGGCCGCUGGGGGGUUUUGUGUUGGGCAGGUGCCUGUAUUCUAGAACAUUGGCCAGAACAGCAAUGUUACUGUAACCUAACAGACUUCUUCUCUCUUUCAGACUCUUGUCCAUCACAAACACAAGAACCUCGGAGAGCAGCUCCAGUGGAAGGUCCGGGCAGAUGACAACUUCAGAACACCACAAUGAGGAGAUGACGGCAGCAGUGAAA